rnacentral:rRNA from 1 species
CAGAGCCGCGGGAAUACAGAGGGUGCGAGCGUUAAUCGGAUUUACUGGGCGUAAAGCGUGCGUAGGCGGCUUUUUAAGUCGGAUGUGAAAUCCCUGAGCUUAACUUAGGAAUUGCAUUCGAUACUGGGAAGCUAGAGUAUGGGAGAGGAUGGUAGAAUUCCAGGUGUAGCGGUGAAAUGCGUAGAGAUCUGGAGGAAUACCGAUGGCGAAGGCAGCCAUCUGGCCUAAUACUGACGCUGAGGUACGAAAGCAUGGGGAGCAAACAGGAUUAGAUACCCCUGUAGUCCCUGUCUCUUAUACA